ACAUCUACUAUAGAGACAGCUGUUGAGGUAAUAACUAGGCUUUGGUCCCUGUUACACAUCAAUACAUCUACUAUAGAGACAGCUGUUGAGGUAAUAACUAGGCUUUGGUCCCUGUUACACAUCAAUACAUCUACUAUAGAGACAACUGUUGAGGUAAUAACUAGGCUUUGGUCCCUGUUACACAUCAAUACAUCUACUAUAGAGACAGCUGUUGAGGUAAUAACUAGGCUUUGGUCCCUGUUACACAUCAAUACAUCUACUAUAGAGACAGCUGUUGAGGUAAUAACUAGGCUUUGGUCCCUGUUACACAUCAAUACAUCUAAUAUAGAGACAGCUGUUGAGGUAAUAACUAGGCUUUGGUCCCUGUUACACAUCAAUACAUCUACUAUAGAGACAACUGUUGAGGUAAUAACUAGGCUUUGGUCCCUGUUACACAUCAAUACAUC